UUUGGUUUUAAAUAGUCUCCUCUGAAAACUGCAACUCAGUCACUGCAGUGUUGUGUUUAAGAGCCUUCUGGAAAGUAACUAACCUUUAAACAGCAGUGAA